rnacentral:tRNA from 1 species
GCCUGGUUGGCUCAGUCAGUAGAGCAUGAGAUUCUUUAUCUCAAGGUUGUGAGUUCAAGCCCCAUGUUGUGUG